UACGUAGGGGGCAAGCGUUGUCCGGAUUUAUUGGGCGUAAAGAGCGUGUAGGCGGCCACACAGGUCAGCUGUGAAAACUCGAGGCUCAACCUCGAGACGUCGGUUGAAACCGUAUGGCUAGAGUCCGGAAGAGGAGAGUGGAAUUCCCGGUGUAGCGGUGAAAUGCGUAGAGAUCGGGAGGAAGGCCGGUGGCGAAGGCGGCGCUCUGGAACGUUUCUGACACUGAGGCUCGAAAGCGUGGGGAGCAAACAGG
rnacentral:rRNA from 1 species